AUUGAACGCUGGCGGCAGGCCUAACACAUGCGAGUCGAGCGGAUGAAGGGAGCUUGCUCCUGGAUUCAGCGGCGGACGGGUGAGUAAUGCCUAGGAAUCUGCCUGGUAGUGGGGGAUAACGUCCGGAAACGGGCGCUAAUACCGCAUACGUCCUGAGGGAGAAAGUGGGGGAUCUUCGGACCUCACGCUAUCAGAUGAGCCUAGGUCGGAUUAGCUAGUUGGUGGGGUAAAGGCCUACCAAGGCGACGAUCCGUAACUGGUCUGAGAGGAUGAUCAGUCACACUGGAACUGAGACACGGUCCAGACUCCUACGGGAGGCAGCAGUGGGGAAUAUAGGACAAUGGGCGAAAGCCUGAUCCAGCCAUGCCGCGUGUGUGAAGAAGGUCUUCGGAUUGUAAAGCACUUUAAGUUGGGAGGAAGGGCAGUAAGUUAAUACCUUGCUGUUUUGACGUUACCAACAGAAUAAGCACCGGCUAACUUCGUG
rnacentral:rRNA from 1 species